CUCUGAUGGAGGCGGCUCUGCAGCUGGAAUCGCGGACGUUUGUGCAAGGACCGAAGCACUGGGAAAGGCCGGGCUUGGACUCGGGUUAUGGCUCCAGCAUCCACCGACGUCCGCAGCGUCUGCUGGACUCGCCCAAUAGCCCCGCAGCGGCCGCGCUCGCAGACGCAUCCGGCUGCAGCCUCCUGCAGGAGGAUGAGGAGUCGGUGCGACAGGGACGGGCGGCUUCCCCGGAACAGCGAGGCGCAGCGACAGACUCGGAGCCCCCAGCGUCUGCCUGUGCGCCGGUGAAGCGCACUUGCGGUCAGUUCUCCAACAUCGUCUGGAAAGUAAUAGCUGGUGCCGCUGUGGCUGUGGUUGAGGCUGUGGUUAUUUUGACAGUUCUCAAUUCCAAACUGAUUUUGGUAGCUGCUAUGUCAAAUUAUUGGAGCUGGUAA
rnacentral:lncRNA from 1 species